CUGGAGGUAUUAGUUCAGCAUGCAUAUCCGUGAAGAGGCUGAACGCGUAUAUUCUUGACGAAAACGUAUUAUUUCCCUGAACAGACAGGCCUCCGUUAAACCUUCAAAUUUAUCUCCAAAAAGAAAUGAAUUAAGGGCCUUGAGCAGCUUCGUGAGAACGCCGGGUCUCCAGUUUCUUAUUUAAAGUUUCUCGAUCUAAUUCCGUUAAAAGUCUCAAUUAAUUUGAAAAUAUUUGUGAUUUUAUCUCCCAGUCCGUACACUUAGAGAAUCGCCUUUGUCUCCCGCUUUAAGUUGAAGAUCAGUAUGGGCCAUAUUUUAACUAUCGGUAUUGCAGAUUGAUGUUCUAGCGUGAGGUUAUAUUAUCGUUUUUUGUAACGUGCCAGCGCUUUGUGGUGGGUGACUAUGUCGUACGACCGCUGAUUUUUGGAAAAGGCACAAUGCUACACGUUAAUCCAAAAAGAAGUGAUACAGUGAAGGGCACAUUGAAUGUACUGCAACCAUUUGAUGAUAAAGGACCAACAGCUUGCCUGGCAUCAAUGUACUUUGAUAAUGAUGGAGAUAUGACUUUGACUGACAACAAUGACAAAGUAUCAUCACAUUCUAAGGAUUUGGCACUUUUGUCCAAAAAGGACAGGUUAUAUUACUUGGCGGGAGUUUCUGAUAAUGGAAUUAAAAGCUGCACACAUAAAGGAAGAGCGUCUCAGAAAAAACAAGACAGCGAAAAGGCUACCACCGCAACACCCACUGUGGAAACGGAAGAAUGCCAAUCUAGAAAUGAUACUGCAAAGAAAGACACCAAAGAUUUUGCCAAGCUGAAUUUCAUGUCACUGACUGUGAAUGGGUUGAGAAUGCUGUUUGCAAAAACCGUCACGUUCAAUAUGCUGAUGACUGUCAGAGCCAUGAUCAUUUAAGAUUUAUUGGAAUCCCGAUAUGAGAUCUUCCACACCUUUGAAGACCAGGAUUCUGUGCCGAUUGGAAUAGUAGUUGGAAGAUGAAGAGUUUUGUUUUUCUUAUUCUGUAGUUUAGGUCAAGUUUCAGAUCAUUUCAACUCUGUAAUAGCCAUGCAACUCAUAUUCCAUUAUUCAUUAUAUAAGAGUAAGUUUUUGUUACUUUAUUCUUGUUUGACAUGUUGAAUAUUGAUCAUUCCUGCUGCCCAGCUGAACGGUUGAACAGAGCUGGAAUGCUGUGGAUGACAGCAAAGUUUUUUUUUUAUAGGACUUGAGCAUGUUGUUGUCUGUUCCCCUGUUCUGCCAAUAGUUUUGCAUGUCCUUGUUCACCUUGCUGUUUGCUUUGCUAACCUUGCAUGUGAAAAGCCUUGAUUAUGUAUUUAUCUUUAUUCUAAUUCAUUCAAUUCAAUAAAACUAUUUUACAGAUGCCA